ensembl:snRNA U1 U1 spliceosomal RNA
AUACUUACCUGGAAGAGGAGACACCAUGAUCACAACAGUGGUUUCCCCAGGGCGAGGCUUAUCCACUGCACUCCGGAUGUGCUGACCCUGAAAUUUCCUCAAAUGUGGGAAACUCAACUGCGUAGUUUGUGGUAGUGGGGGACUGCGUUCACGCUCUCCUCUG